CCCUUAGAUGUUCUGGGCUGCACGCGCGCUACACUGAUGCGCUCAACGAGUUUUAACCUUGCCUGGAAAGGUUGGGUAAUCUUUUUAAAACGCAUCGUGAUGGGGAUAGAUUAUUGCAAUUAUUAAUCUUCAACGAGGAAUUCCUAGUAAGCGCGAGUCAUCAGCUCGUGCUGAUUACGUCCCUGCCCUUUGUACACACCGCCCGUCGCUACUACCGAUUGAACGUUUUAGUGAGGUAUUUGGACUGGACCUUCGGAGGUUCGCGCCUCCGUUGCUGUUCGGGAAGACUCCCAAACUUGAGCGUUUAGAGGAAGUAAAAGUCGUAACA
rnacentral:rRNA from 1 species